rnacentral:rRNA from 1 species
CGGUACCUACGGGAGGCAGCCGUCGGGCCUCUUCCCCCCUGGCCGACCGUCUGAUGGAGCAACGCCGCGUGAGUGAAGAAGGGUUUCGGCUCGUAAAGCUCUGUUGGUAGUGAAGAAAGAUAGAGGUAGUAACUGGCCUUUAUUUGACGGUAAUUACUUAGAAAGUCACGGCUAACUACGUGCCAGCAGCCGCGGUAAUACGUAGGUGGCAAGCGUUGUCCGGAUUUAUUGGGCGUAAAACGAGUG